UAGGGAAUCUUCGGCAAUGGACGGAAGUCUGACCGAGCAACGCCGCGUGAGUGAAGAAGGUUUUCGGAUCGUAAAGCUCUGUUGUUAGAGAAGAACGUUGGUAGGAGUGGAAAAUCUACCAAGUGACGGUAACUAACCAGAAAGGGACGGCUAACUACGUGCCAGCAGCCGCGGUAAUACGUAGGUCCCGAGCGUUGUCCGGAUUUAUUGGGCGUAAAGCGAGCGCAGGCGGUUCUUUAAGUCUGAAGUUAAAGGCAGUGGCUUAACCAUUGUACGCUUUGGAAACUGGAGGACUUGAGUGCAGAAGGGGAGAGUGGAGUUCCAUGUGUGGCGGUGAAAGGCGUAGAUAUAUGGAGGAACACCGGUGGCGAAAGCGGCUCUCUGGACAGUAACUGACGCUGAGGCUCGAAAGCGUGGGGAGCAAACAGG
rnacentral:rRNA from 1 species